AGAUAGUGCUCCAAAGGACAAUGAAUUGGAGGAACACUUUCCAGUAUUCCAAAUGAUUGAUCCUAUAUGGAAACUCCGUGGUUGCACUACACCAGAAAAUCGCCAUCUAUGCGGCACAAUUCAAACGUGGAACACGAGAAAUUUUUUCAAUGGAAAACCAGUGCAGAUCAGACUCAAUGUCACAUGCUGCGACACAUUCGGCUGUAAUAA